rnacentral:rRNA from 1 species
UACAGAGGGCGCGAGCGUUGUCCGGAAUCACUGGGCGUAAAGGGCGCGUAGGUGGCCACCAUAAGGCCCGCGGUGAAAGUUCGGGGCUCAACCCCGGAUCGGCCGCGGCGACUGUGGGGCUCGGGUACUGUAGAGGCAGAUGGAAUUCCGGGUGUAGCGGUGGAAUGCGUAGAGAUCCGGAAGAACACCAGUGGCGAAGGCGGUCUGCUGGGCAGUGGGAUCGGAAGGUCCCUUCGAACCGACACGUGAGGCGCUGACAGCGUGGGGAGCAACAGGAUUAGAAACCGGG